rnacentral:rRNA from 1 species
UGGGGAAUAUUGGACAAUGGGCGAAAGCCUGAUCCAGCCAUGCCGCGUGUGUGAAGAAGGUCUUCGGAUUGUAAAGCACUUUAAGUUGGGAGGAAGGGUUGUAGAUUAAUACUCUGCAAUUUUGACGUUACCGACAGAAUAAGCACCGGCUAACUCUGUGCCAGCAGCCGCGGUAAUACAGAGGGUGCAAGCGUUAAUCGGAAUUACUGGGCGUAAAGCGCGCGUAGGUGGUUAUGUAAGUUGGAUGUGAAAUCCCCGGGCUCAACCUGGGAACUGCAUCCAAAACUGCAUGGCUAGAGUACGGUAGAGGGUGGUGGAAUUUCCGGUGUAGCGGUGAAAUGCGUAGAUAUCAAGAGGAACACCUGAGGUGAAGACGGGUUGCUGGGCUGACACUGACGCUGAGGCGCGAAAGCCAGGGGAGCAAACGGGAUUAGAUACCCUUGUAGUCCCUGAGCGGGCUGGCAAGGCGCAU